rnacentral:rRNA from 1 species
UACGUAGGGUGCGAGCGUUAAUCGGAAUUACUGGGCGUAAAGCGUGCGCAGGCGGUUUUGUAAGUCUGUCGUGAAAUCCCCGGGCUCAACCUGGGAAUUGCGAUGGAGACUGCAAGGCUAGAAUCUGGCAGAGGGGGGUAGAAUUCCACGUGUAGCAGUGAAAUGCGUAGAGAUGUGGAGGAACACCGAUGGCGAAGGCAGCCCCCUGGGUCAAGAUUGACGCUCAUGCACG